AGUGAACGCUGGCGGCGUGCUUAACACAUGCAAGUCGAACGAGAACGGAUUAUAGCUUGCUAUAGUUGUCAGCUAAGUGGCGCACGGGUGAGUAAUGUAUAGGUAAUAUGCCUCUUACUAAGGGAUAACAAAUGGAAACGUUUGCUAAUACCUUAUACUCCUUAUUAACAGAAGUUAAUAAGGGAAAGAUUUAUUGGUAAGAGAUUAGCCUGUAUUGUAUCAGUUAGUUGGUGGGGUAAUGGCUUACCAAGACUAUGACACAUAACUGGUUUGAGAGGAGGAUCAGUCACACUGGAACGAAAAAACGGUCAAGACUCCUACGGGAGGCAGCAGUGGGGAAUAUGGCACAAUGGACGAAAGUCUGAUGCAGCAACGCCGCGUGGAGGAUGACACAUUUCGGUGCGUAAACUCUUUUUAUAUGAGAAGAUAAUGACGGUAUUAUAUGAAUAAGCACCGGCUAACUCCGUGCCAGCAGCCGCGGUAA
rnacentral:rRNA from 1 species